AUGGCUGAGGUUGGGGGCACCUGUGGAGAUCGCCCAGCCCGACAUCCCCCGCUCAAGCAGCCCCUGCUGCAGGUUGCCCUGACCGUGCCCACUCCAGUUUUAAAUAUCUCCAAGCACGCAGAAGCCACAGCCUCUCUGGGUACUGCACCACCCUCGCAGCAGUGUUUUUUUUUCCCACAUUUGAACAGAAUUUCCUGUAUUUCAGUUUGCACCUUAGCCUCCUGUCUGAGCACAGCCGAGAAAGGUGUGAUCCCAUUUUCUCCGCAUCCUCCAGCAGAUAUUUGGCCGAGGGGUCCCAGCGGUCCCAUGCUGUUGUCAGCAUCCUGCCUGCAGCCCUGCUUUUCUCUGUCAAACGCUCGAGGCAGGAGCCCCAGCUCCUCUUUGCUUCCAUGGGGUGCCCAAGGAGAGGAAGGGGUUGCUCUGACCGAGGUCUCCCCCGUGUGCGGAGGAUGUCCUGCUGCCACGGGUGCAGGAGAUGGUGGCGUGCAUGCCGAACGGCACCCUGUGCUGCAGCAGCCCCGCGGCACUAAGCGGCACUCUCCGCUUUUCUUUGCAGCUCCGCAGCACUGCUGGGCUGCACGCAAGGGAGCUGCCUGCGAGGCUGCGUGCUCGGGCAGAGCCUCUGAGCACGCACCCGGAGCCUGGCUGCUGCUGCUGCUGCUGCUGCUGGGAGGGCAAAAAUCAGGGCGGAGGGGACACUUCCCUGCUCUUUGCACAAGUUCACCCUGCAGAAAACCUGCACGUCUGCUCAUCCGUCUGAAUCGGGCUGGUUUGCUGCAGACAAGCAUUAGCCGUGCCUUGAACACCGGAGGCAGGGAAAUAAAUGCCCUUAACGAGUCACCUAAUAAAUCCCCUGCUAUCACUCUGCUAACCCAAGCAUCUCUCCCAGGGUCCCCAGGGUUGCAGGGGGCUCCACCAGCAACCCUCCCUCCCUUCCAGCCCCUUCCAGCUGGCCGUGCAUCAAGCAGGGAAGCCGGCUCAGCCCCAAAGCCGAAGAUGAGCUUCCUUCUGGGAUGCCUGUGUGAGUGCAAAGGUGCUGGGCAACCUCGCAGCUCCCUGGCUACAGCAGGAGCUGGGGGGUUUCGGCUUCCUCCUGCGUGCUGCAGCAGGUGGGGGAAGGCAGGGGCUCCUGCCUGCCCCCUGCCAGGCAGGACAUCAGGACAUCACCUGCCCCUUGGGGACUGGGGGACUGUGCUUUGUCAGCCUCAGGAGAUGGAAAAAGAUGCAUUUUGCACCCCAGAAACAGGAAUGAGGGCUCAUAUUCCCACCACAGACUUUAAAUGCAGGCACCUGAGACAUGGAGCGGGGAUCCGAAAUCACUGUUGCUUUUUAAGCCUUCAUGCUGCAGCAAGAAAUUCUGUUUGUCUCGGUCAAUUGUGCUCGCUGGAGUUGUGCCGUAUCUCGUUCCCCCGCGAAGCUGUAAUCCCCUGGUACCUGAGCAGUCUCACACCGUCUCCUGCUGCUGGUCACGAUUUUGGGUGA
rnacentral:lncRNA from 1 species